rnacentral:rRNA from 1 species
AUUGAACGCUGGCGGAAUGCUUUACACAUGCAAGUCGAACGGCAGCACGGACUUCGGUCUGGUGGCGAGUGGCGAACGGGUGAGUAAUGUAUCGGAACGUGCCCAGUCGUGGGGGAUAACGUAGUGAAAAUUACGCUAAUACCGCAUACGAUCUAUGGAUGAAAGCAGGGGAUCGCAAGACCUCGCGCGAUUGGAGUGGCCGAUAUCAGAUUAGGUAGUUGGUGGGGUAAAGGCCCACCAAGCCAACGAUCUGUAGCUGGUCUGAGAGGACGACCAGCCACACUGGAACUGAGACACGGUCCAGACUCCUACGGGAGGCAGCAGUGGGGAAUUUUGGACAAUGGGCGAAAGCCUGAUCCAGCCAUUCCGCGUGCAGGAUGAAGGCCCUCGGGUUGUAAACUGCUUUUGUACAGAACGAAAAGGUUUCUACUAAUACUAGGAGCUCAUGACGGUACUGUAAGAAUGAGCACCGGCUAACUACGUGCCAGCAGCCGCCGUAA